rnacentral:rRNA from 1 species
CAGCAGCCGCGGGAAUACGAAGGUCCCGAGCGUUGUUCGGAAUCACUGGGCGUAAAGGGAGCGUAGGCGGCGUGGUAAGUCAGAUGUGAAAUCCCGGGGCUCAACCCCGGAACUGCAUCCGAUACUGCCAUGCUAGAGGAUUGGAGAGGUAGCUGGAAUUCUUGGUGUAGCAGUGAAAUGCGUGGAGAUCAAGAGGAACACUCGUGGCGAAAGCGAGCUACUGGACAAUAACUGACGCUGAGGCUCGAAGGCCAGGGUAGCGAAAGGGAUUAGAUACCCCAGUAGUCCCUGUCUCUUAUAC